rnacentral:lncRNA from 1 species
GUAGCAGCAGCUCCAACUCUUUAUAGGCUGCAAUUAAGGCCAGAAAGUUUUGCAGUUUCUGCAUGUUCUGAUGUCACUGCACAUCCCUUGGAGAGGCAUACAGCAAAGAGGCAGGGAAGAUACAUGGCAAUGGAAUUAUCUUUCGAAUAAUUGGAAGGCUUUUCCCUUCUGGACCCAAAGGCUUUUUCUCCUGUUACCAGUGGUGGCAAGAAAACCCAGGCUGAAGCUCCUGUUUUACUUGACACAGGACCUAAGAUUUCUGGAAGUGAGUGGGAAAAACAAGAGGAAAAGUCUUUGGCUUUUUUAUCCAUGA